CCUACGGGAGGCAGCAGUGGGGAAUAUUGCACAAUGGGGGAAACCCUGAUGCAGCGACGCCGCGUGAAGGAAGACGUAUCUAGGUAUGUAAACUUCUAUCAGUAUGGAAGUAAAUGACGGUACGUGACUAAGAAGCUCCGGAUAACUACGUGCCAGCAGCCGCGGUAAUACGUAGGGGGCAAGCGUUAUCCGGAUUUACUGGGUGUAAAGGGAGCGUAGGCGGAGAUGCAAGUCAGAAGUGAAAGCCCGGGGCUCAACUCCGGGACUGCUUUUGAAACUGUAUGGCUAGAUUGCAGGAGAGGCAAGUGGAAUUCGUGGUGUAGCGGUGAAAUGCGUAGAUAUUAGGAGGAACUCCAGUGGCGAAGGCAGCUUGCUGGACUGUAAAUGACGCUGAGGCUCGAAAGCGUGGGGAGCAAACAGGAUUAGAUACCCUUGUAGUC
rnacentral:rRNA from 1 species